UUUAAUUUUUUUUUUUUUUUUUAUUAUAAAGGUAGCAGAAGGAAAUCGGCCUGGUGUCUCAGGGUUUAACGUAUGUACAGCUACCUUAGUUUUAAUUAUUCAGACGAUAUAUAAACACACAUAAUUAAUUAGUUAUCAAGGACACUUAGAAGAGAUGGUGCUGCUUCUUUCCAUGAGCUUCCUCAUCCUCUCUCUUGGCCUCUUUCUUCUCAUGUUUCUCAUGGAAAGCAAAUCCGCCGGCUCCGACGGCCAACGCUGCAGCAGCUUCCUCUUCUAUUUUGUGCCUAUGAGCAUGUUCUGGGUCUUUCUUUGCCUCAUGCUUCUCAUACAAGGCAUAAGCGCCAGCGGCAGCAGCCCCGAGCUCGCCUACAUGUUCGAGAUGCUUGUGGUGCUUCUCCUCCUUUUUGUGGUCUGGGGCAUCAUGAGGUGGUGGGAUGUUUGUAGGGUAAGCAGUAGUCUCGGAGAACUCGGAGGUCUCACUGUAGACAGCAGCAGUCUCAAUGGGUUUUUCCUCAUCCUUGUGGUGGUGAAAAGGGUGGUGGUGGUGGUGCUUCUCUUCUGCCAUGGUGGGUCUGAGUUUGAAGAAAUGAGUACAAGAAAAGAGACAAGUGAACUAUAGGGAUUGGUUU
rnacentral:misc_RNA from 1 species